rnacentral:sRNA from 1 species
AUUGCUGCCAAUUUAUCUACCACUGCCAAUCUAUCUAUUGCUGCUAAUCUAUCACUGCUGUCAAUCUAUCUAUCACUGCUAAUCUAUCUAUCGCUGCUAAUCUAUCGCCGCUGCCAAUCUAUCCCUCACUGCUAAGCUAUCCCUCACUGCUAAGCUAUCACUGCCAAUCUAUCGCUGCUAAUCUAUCGCUGCCAACCUAUCUACCGCGGCGAAUCUAUCUAUCGCUGCCAAUUUAUCUACCACUGCCAAUCUAUCUAUCGCUGCCAAUCUAUUGCUGCUAAUCUAUCGCUGCUAAUCUAUCGCUGCUGCCAAUCUAUCUAUCGCUGCUAAUCUAUCGCCGCUGCCAAUCUAUCCCUCGCUGCUAAGCUAUCCCUCGCUGCUAAGCUAUCCCUCACUACUAAGCUAUCUAUCACUGCUAAUCUAUCGCUGCCAACCUAUCUAUCACUGCCAAUCUAUCUAUCGCUGCUAAUCUAUCGCUGCUAAUCUAUCACUGCUAAUCUAUCGCUGCCAACCUAUCUAUCGCUGCCAAUUUAUCUACCACUGCCAAUCUAUCUAUUGCUGCUAAUCUAUUGCUGCUGCCAAUCUAUCUAUCGCUGCUAAUCUAUUGCUGCUGCUAAUCUAUCUAUCGCUGCUAAUCUAUCGCUGCUAAUCUAUCGCUGCUAAUCUAUCGCUGCUAAUCUAUCGCUGCCAACCUAUCUACCGCGGCGAAUCUAUCUAUCACUAUCAUUACUAGUUCAAAAUAGAACUAGAGCAUAAACACACUAAACUUCUUUUGAUAGGUAAUGAUUUUUGGUAACGCUCAUAGCAUUAUAUCAUCUAUAUAGGGUAAAUCAUGGUCCCAUUUGGUCCCAUUUUAACAAAAUGGGACCAAAUGGGACCAGAAUCAGUAAUUUAUAAGAAGAACAUGAUCUGGGACUAGAUUUAUAAUAUAAACAGUGUAAAGUGACUAAUUUAAUAAACACUAUAUGGGAUC